rnacentral:rRNA from 1 species
CCUACGGGAGGCAGCAGUGGGGAAUAUUGGGCAAUGGGCGCAAGCCUGACCCAGCAACGCCGCGUGAAGGAAGAAGGCUUUCGGGUUGUAAACUUCUUUUCUCAGGGACGAAGAAAGUGACGGUACCUUAGGAAUAAGCCACGGCGAACUACGUGCCAGCAGCCGCGGUACUACGUAGGGGGCAAGCGUUCUCCGGAUGUAUUGGGUGUAAAGGGCGUGUAGGCGGGAGCGGAAGUCAGAUGUGAAAACUGAGGGAUCAACCCUGGGCCUGCAUUUGAAACUGUGGUUCUGGAGUGCUGGAGAGGCAAGCGGAAUUCCGUGUGUAGCGGGGAAAUGCGUAGAUAUACGGAGGAACACCAGUGGCGAAGGCGGAUUGCUGGACAGUAACUGACGCUGAGGCGCGAAAGCGUGGGGAGCAAACAGGAUUAGAUACCCCAGUAGUC